GAUGAACGCUGGCGGCGUGCCUAAUACAUGCAAGUCGAGCGAACAGACGAGGAGCUUGCCUCUCUGACGAUAGGGGCGGACGGGAGAGUAACAUAGGUAAAACCUCUCUAUAAGGCUGGGAUAACUUCGGAAAACUGGAUCAUAUACCGGAUCAUAUAUUGAACCAUAUGGUUCAAUAAAGAAAGACGGUUUUGCUGUUACCUGUAGAUGCAGCCGCGUCUCAUUAGUUAGUUGGUAAGGUAACGCCUUACCAAGGCAACGUUGCGUAGCCGACCUGAGGGGGGGCUCGGCCACACGGGAACUGGACCACGGCCCAGACUCCUACGGAGGGCAGCAGUAGGGAAUCUUCCGCAGUGAGCGAAAGCCUGACGGAGCACCGCCGCGUGAGUGAUGAAGGUCUUCGGAUCGUAAGACUCUGUUAUUGGGGAAGAACAAAUGUGUAAGUAACUAUGCACGUCGUGACGGUACCUAAUCAGAAAGCCACGGCUAACUACGUG
rnacentral:rRNA from 1 species